UACGGGGGGAGCAAGCGUUGUUCGGAUUUACUGGGCGUAAAGGGCGCGUAGGCGGUCAGCACAAGUCAGUUGUGAAAUCUCCGGGCUUAACCCGGAAACUGCCAUUGAUACUAUCUGUCUUGAAUACCGUGGAGGUGAGCGGAAUAUGUCAUGUAGCGGUGAAAUGCUUAGAUAUGACAUAGAGCACCAAUUGCGAAGGCAGCUCGCUACACGAAUAUUGACACUGAGGCACGAAAGCGUGGGGAUCAAACAGG
rnacentral:rRNA from 1 species